GAUCAGGUUUCAAGCUGACAGACAAACUAGUUAAUAAAUUCUCCAUCUCUUUGUUGCUGUAAAGCAAGCCUGAAGGGUUAAUUGUUGGACCAGCAAUAUAAACCCAUGGCUUAUUCACAGUUUCAAGUAUACCAUUAAGUAGUUUGUCUGUCAGCUUGAAACCUGAUCCAGAGUCAGUAGGGAUGCUCAUAAUGUUUGCUUUUAAAAAUUUGGCAGCGGACACAUAGUUCCCAUUUGAGCCAGCUGGGAAGCAGAAUGUUCCACCUUCUUGGAUGCAGCAUAGGAUUAGUCUAUUAAACAGGGCUUGUGAGAAGUCUGUAUAUAUAAACUCUGUGCUGUUGUUGCUAGGAAACCCAUAGUUGCUCUUGAUGAAUUGCUUGAUGCUAG
rnacentral:misc_RNA from 1 species